AACGAUGAAACUCUUUUGACCGUUAUCGCCGAAGCCGAAGAGAUCGUUAACUGCAGACCAUUGGUCUACAUGCCGCAAGAAUCAACGGAUGCCGAGGCACUCACGCCCAACCAUUAAUUGCGUGGUACCGUUACAGAGUUGAAGGAUCCUUGCAUCGCACCAACACGUCAGGCUGAAGCGCUUCGAAGCACUUACCAAAGGUCUCAGUACAUCGCCGAUGAACUAUGGAAGCGGUGGCUAAAAGAAUAUGUCCCUUCGAUGAACGUGCACACCAAAUGGCUGGAAGACUCGAAACCACUUAAGGUAGGCGACCUAGUAUUCAUCACAGACGAUCAGAAUCGCAAUGGAUGGGUCCGAGGGCGAGUGGACAAAGUCAUCGCAGGCAAGGAUGGCCGUGUGAGACAAGCAGAAGUUCACACUUCCGGUGGGCUGUUCCGGCGACCAGUAGCUAAACUUGCAGUCAUCGAGAUCGGGUCAUCAGGUAAAUCUGACCAGGAAGCAGGUUCUGGACGAGGUUUACGGGUCGGGGAAAUGUUGAAACCACUGGGCACCGAAACCCAAGUGGCCAAAUUAACUUCAUCUGAGUGACAGCAGCCCUGGCAACCGGAAAACAGUUAGAGCAAGAAACGUCAAAGUAAGCCAUUCAUUUCCGAACAUUCGAGAACCAAGAAAAAUCAAGACUGGUUGUGAAUUUUUAAAAGAGUCUAGUUAUUGAUUUUGUGACUAUUAUUUGAACUGAAACUUAAUAAGUAGAACACGAUUUUAGUUAGCGCGUGAUUUCUAAAACCGUAGCGAAAAACUUAUGCAGAGGCAACUUAGAAUCCAGGCACGUUUCUCGUAGUAGGAGUAAAAAACUAAAUCUGUAUGUAAUACAAAAAAAAACACUUACCUUACAUUCUCAAACUAAAAAUAAAAUCAUAUUUUUCCAGUUUGAGCAGAUUCAAACCGAACUGCUACAGAAGGAGUU